rnacentral:rRNA from 1 species
AUUGAACGCUAGCGGCAGGCCUAACACAUGCAAGUCGAACGAGUGGCGGACGGGUGAGUAAUGUCUGGGAAACUGCCCGAUGGAGGGGGAUAACUACUGGAAACGAUAGCUAAUACCGCAUACCAUCGGAUCUGCCCAGAUGGGAUUAGCUAGUAGGUGGGGUAAAGGCUCACCUAGGCGACGCUCCCUAGCUGGUCUGAGAGGAAGACCAGCCACACGGGAACUGAGACACGGUCCAGACGCCUACGGGAGGCAGCAGUGGGGAAUAUUGCACAAUGGGCGCAAGCCUGAUGCAGCCAUGACGCGUGUAUGAAGAAGGCCUUCGGGUUGUAAAGUACUUUCAGCGAGGAGGCGUUAUUCGCAGAAGAAGCACCGGCUAACUCCGUGCCAGCAGCCGCGGUAAUAC